AGACCGUGUCCCGCGGGGCUGUCACCUCCGCCUCCGCGCCCCGACCCGGCCAUGCGCGGCCUCGGACUCUGGCUGCUGGGCACGAUGAUGCUGCCUGCGAUCAUCCCCAGCCGGCCCUGGGUCCUCGUGGAGCAGUAUGAGGUGGUGCUGCCACGGCGUCUGCCAGGACCCCGAGUCCACCGAGCUCUGCCCUCCCGCUUGGGCCUGCACCCAGAGAAGGUGAGCUAUGUCCUUGGGGCCACAGGGCACAACUUCACCCUGCACCUGCGGAAGAACAGGGACCUGCUGGGCUCCGGCUACACAGAGACCUACACAGCUGCCAAUGGCUCCGAGGUGACGGAGCAGCCUCGCGGGCAGGACCACUGCUUCUACCAGGGCCACGUGGAGGGGUACCCGGACUCAGCCGCCAGCCUCAGCACCUGUGCCGGCCUCAGGUGGGCUCAGAUCUGCACCUGAUCGAGCCCCUGGAUGAAGGUGGUGAGAGCGGGCGGCACGCCGUGUACCAGGCCGAGCACCUGCUGCAGACGGCCGGGACCUGCGGGGUCAGCGACGAAAGCCUG
rnacentral:sRNA from 1 species